ensembl:lncRNA
ACACACACACACACACACACACACACACACACACACACACACACACACACACACACACACUACAAUCGUGACACACACAAGACCUUCUGAAGCCCCCUGGUGGAGUCGGACGGAGGGAGAGAGCAGCGUGGACACUGAUGAUUUAUUUUAAUAUGUAGGGAAAUAAACAAGAGAUGAAGCCAUGCGUUAAAUCAACUCAGAGAGAGAGAGAGAGAGACAGAGAGAGAGCUGUGAUGCAGUGUGUCGGUUGCUGAAGCCAGAAGCUCCCUGCUCCAUUUCACACUCUGUAGGUCCUGACGCAUCAGCGCUGCUUACUGCCCAGGACUCUGUCACACACACACACUGAGUCACACACACACAUGCACACACACACACACACACACGCUAAAACACACACACUCACGCACACUCACUAACACACACAAACACUCACUAGCACACACGCCUGUGCAUAAAUGCAGAACAAAUCUGCAUAUCGGUAUGCACACAAUCACCCACAGAUUUACACACACAGACACACACACACACACAGAAAUACUGGCACCCCUACUUAUUCACAGGCGCACAUUUUUUUCUUUUAAACAAUUGCCUUGUAGCACAUUAUCUAUUGCACACACAGAUGCAUUUGUUACUGUAGGGACACACACACACACACACACACACACACACACACAAGCACAGCCGCACACACAAUGAGACACACACACACAUAGCCACACACACAGAGACACACACAUUAUUGUGUUUUUCCCAGCUGGUACGGCGAACAAUGUAACGCAUUGAACAGUCAGGUCUGAACCUGUUUUUUGCAACCUGCUACUGUUAGGAAAAUUAGGAAGAGAACUGUUUGAGGAAGCAAACAUUGCAGUGGUUGAUUUCAGCUUUUUGGACUUUUGCUUGAAAACUGUGUAGCUCUCAGCUCUCCUAACCUGGCCAUCUACCUGCACACAAACAGUACUUUGAACAGUAUAGCAGUACCACGGGCGGUGUAGUAAACCUAAAGAGUAUACGAGUACUACAGGCUUAUACUGUAGUGAUUCUCUUUUGUAUUGUUUUGGAUUUUUUUUUAGCUUUUCAUGCAAUCACCUGUGAACUUUUUAUUUCGUGAAACAUUUCCUCGUCAGGGUAAAGAUUUUUCUUUGUGGGUCGUAACUCGGGAGAUUUUCUUCAUUUGUUUUUGUUCGUGUGGCGAAUGCCCCCCCCCUCCUCCUCCAAGGCACACCUGUGCACAGCUCUCAACUCUUGCCACUGUCAACCCUGUGUUGCCGUGGUGACGCUUGAUCCUCGGUUGCUGCCCCCCGCUGAGCCAAAGCUAAAUGGAGCUGAAUGAUCUGCCGAUGUUUGAUUCUUUUCAAUACCUGCUCGGCACCUGGCGAGGCCGCACUGGGACAUUCCGCUCCUCGGUGUCGUCGUUGUUGUUGUUGUUGUUGUUGUUUUCUCUUCUCCCCGAGACAACACAUCCCCCUCAACCCACCUGUCCCCCUCCCCCCUCCCCCCGCCUCCUUCCUCUCCCCCCCCCCUCAUCCCCUCCUCUCCUCUCCUCUCCCUUAUCCUCUUUGCUUCCCUCCUCUUCUUUCAUCUCCUUUUACUCCCCCCUCAUCCCCUCCUCUCCUCUCAACUCUAUUACUCUACUCCCCUAUCAUUCCCUCCUUCUCUCCUCUCCCCUCCAUAUGCCAUCCUCUCCUCUCUUCCCCUCUCCUUCUUUCCACUCUUUGCUGCUCUUCCCUCUCCUCUUUUCUCCUCUAAUCUCCUCUCCUCUCCUCUCUCCUCUUCCCUCUUCCCCUCUCCUCUCUCCUCCCUCCUCCUUUCCUAGGCCAGGUAGUUACAAGGCGAAAUGGAAUAUCAUUGACAGCGAUAUGAGAUGAAGACACAAAAGCACACAAACACAGGCACACACACUCGGAUGCGCACAAGGGCGGGUAAACACACACACACACACACACACACACACACACACACACACACUCGCACAGGCACACAGCCCUACCAGACUCACGCUGUGGCUUCAAAUGAGGCCCACUUUCAUGAGCGGCUGUACCGCGUGACGGCCCACCCUGUAACCAGAUGAAACGUGCCCUUCUUUCUCUCGCAUUUCCCUCCCCGGAGGAAAAAUGCUCUUAAGGUUUGGAGCAUCAGCCAUGAAGGGAACUCUGCCUUUUAUUUAUUUUUUUAUUUCCUUUGGGUCUCCACAUGACAUAACACAGAUUUUCCUUUUUUUUUGCCCCUGUUCUUUGCCCCACCUGCCCCUAUGUUGGUUAUUUGCCCCACCCUAUAUUGGAGGACUGAGCGUGCUGGCUCUGUGUGUCAAAGGACCAUACAGACGUGUCUGUGGUGCAGCGCAGCGGGGAACUGGCAGCAGGGAGUGUGGAUCUAAAGUCGUUGUAGUGCCUGGAUGUUGUUCAUGUGUGCCGCCUCGUCCUUUUCAAUGGGAGCCCCCUGAUUGAGAAACUCAUGAAAAACAUUCUGCAUUUUCUUUUGGGCACGCUCACAAAUAAAGGGAAGGACGUUUGGACGUUUCAUGAUAAAAAAUUGUCUCGAAAAAUGAUGGACAGAAUCUUUGGGAUUAAUCCUCUCUUCAAUGCCUUGUUUCCUUCGACUGGUGUGCAACCCAAACAUGCUCCCACAUCCCGUUUCACUGAAGCAUGUCCACCUACGAGGGGUCGCUUUGUCCCACUCUCCUGCCUUUCCAUCUUAACGUGUCCCUUCUGUGCUCUUUCCUUCUAGCAGUCCUAUCGCCCACAAACACGGACGUGUUUGUAUGUCGACAAAAUUAGCUUUAUUUUUAACCCCAAAAAAUGUGAGGAAAGGCUCAUAUAAAAGGAUAGAUUGGUCCUGGAUCAGUUGAGUUUGGUGGUGACAAAUAUGUAUGUCUGCGGCAUAUAUGUGGUCCUGCAUGGACUGUUUUCAAUUUCCGGUUAUUUCAACAUUUCUCCCGAAACCCAAAUCCUACACCCUCUCUCUCGGGGCGUUCGGCAACCCCCCCCCCUCGCUAUGUUCACCGUGAAAUAAAAUAAAUGUAAAAGCUGACUUCCUCUUCUUCUUCUUCAUCCUUCUGAGUUUCUCUCCUUGGGAGUGAUUCCUGGGUAGGCUCCAGCUGUGUUCGGCGGGAGCAUAUGGCCCCAGUGUAUGAAUGCACCAUUUAAAACAGCGCUGUCACAUAAAGGGAGCAGCGCCGCGAUGCGGACGCGCCGAUCACGUGACGAUGACGUGUUUAGGGGCUGCACAUCGGCCUCUGCCGAGCACGUAUAAAGACAUGUUUAUGUAGUGUUUUCCCAAAAUGUAUAUGUAUUAUGUGUAUAUAAAAUACAGAAAGAUCUCUGAACAGUAACCAACUUGAAAAAUAAAGACUGG